UCAUUACCACACCAAAAAAACCAUCCACGUGAAUGUAUUCUUUAUGAGGCUUGUGCUCUUUUCAGGGCUAGCCGAAGGUUUCGCAAGGAACCGAUGUAAUUUUUAAUCCCUUUAUACUAAAUGACUGAUUUAAACUAGCAUCAGAAAUGAAGCUUGUCAAUUCUAUACAACUUUCAACAGUGGAUGUCUA
rnacentral:rRNA from 1 species